GAUGAACGCUGGCGGCGUGCCUAAUACAUGCAAGUCGAGCGAACAGAUAAGGAGCUUGCUCCUUUGACGUUAGCGGCGGACGGGUGAGUAACACGUGGGUAACCUACCUAUAAGACUGGAAUAACUCCGGGAAACCGGGGCUAAUGCCGGAUAACAUGUUGAACCGCAUGGUUCUACAGUGAAAGGCGGCUUUGCUGUCACUUAUAGAUGGACCCGCGCCGUAUUAGCUAGUUGGUGAGGUAACGGCUCACCAAGGCAACGAUACGUAGCCGACCUGAGAGGGUGAUCGGCCACACUGGAACUGAGACACGGUCCAGACUCCUACGGGAGGCAGCAGUAGGGGAUCUUCCGCAAUGGGCGAAAGCCUGACGGAGCAACGCCGCGUGAGUGAUGAAGGUCUUCGGAUCGUAAAACUCUGUUAUUAGGGAAGAACAAAUGCGUAAGUAACUGUGCGCGUCUUGACGGUACCUAAUCAGAAAGCCACGGCUAACUACGUG
rnacentral:rRNA from 1 species